rnacentral:rRNA from 1 species
GUGCCAGCAGCCGCGGUAAUACAGAGGGUGCAAGCGUUAUCCGGAUUUAUUGGGUUUAAAGGGUCCGUAGGCGGAUCUGUAAGUCAGUGGUGAAAUCUCACAGCUUAACUGUGAAACUGCCAUUGAUACUGCAGGUCUUGAGUGUUGUUGAAGUAGCUGGAAUAAGUAGUGUAGCGGUGAAAUGCAUAGAUAUUACUUAGAACACCAAUUGCGAAGGCAGGUUACUAAGCAACAACUGACGCUGAUGGACGAAAGCGUGGGGAGCGAACAGGAUUAGAUACCCUGGUAGUCCACGCCGUAAACGAUGCUAACUCGUUUUUGGGGCGCAAGCUUCAGAGACUAAGCGAAAGUGAUAAGUUAGCCACCUGGGGAGUACGUUCGCAAGAAUGAAACUCAAAGGAAUUGACGGGGGCCCGCACAAGCGGU